rnacentral:lncRNA from 1 species
AUUAAUUUUUUUAUAACACAAAAAAGGAACAUUGUAUAGAUGGUGGAUGAUAAUGUGCUGUGGACCAAGGAAUAUGAAUAUUUCAACAACCAGCCCCGGACACCCGAAAGACAGAAUGUACCUCAGCAAUUUCUGAUCAUCUCCAUUUCUCUGAUCCGAAGUGCUUGUGUGUUGGUCUCCCGGACUCUGUCUCUUCAAUGGUGCACAUGACAGAAUUCCUUCUGCUUGUCCUCACUUCACUUUCUCUGGGCUCCCUGGUGCUUUGUUGUAAAUCUGCCGUGCCUCCAGAUGGCCAGUUCCCUCAGAGCAAGUUGUAACAUUGCUGAUCACUGUCCUGGCAGUCACCUUUCUAAACCUGGAGUCUGCUAACAAGUUAAAUCUGCACCGCCUAAACGCCCAGAUGCCUGUCGUCACACGGCACACCCCAGAAGGGUACACCAGCAACCAGCAGCAUCGCGUCUGAGCCGUCUGGCCGGAGACGAGGGCAAAAUGGAUGUCUUGUUUCACUCUGUCUCUUUUUGAAUAUUUAAAACGUUUCAAUAUAUUUCUAUUGCUAUUACUCCAGAAAAAAAAAAUUAAGCAAAUAAAACUACCAUUUAAGUGCAGAAAUUAAUUCCAUGCUUCAAUCAGGUGUUCCAAAUUCUUGUAACUUUUCCAUAAAGCAUCACUUCCCAACCGUUGUAUAUACCUCCAUUGCUUUAGUCCUUACAGCAACCGCAUAUGGUGAGUGUUAUUUCUACUCCGGGUUUACAGAUGAGGAAACUGAGGUACACAAAGAUCA